rnacentral:rRNA from 1 species
GAGUUUGAACCUGGGCUCAGGAUGAACGCUGGCGGCGUGCCUAAUACAUGCAAGUCGAGCGAACCACUUCGGUGGUGAGCGGCGAACGGGUGAGUAACACGUAGGUGAUCUGCCCAUCAGACGGGGACAACGAUUGGAAACGAUCGCUAAUACCGGAUAGGACGAAAGUUUAAAGGUGCUUCUGGCACCGCUGAUGGAUGAGCCUGCGGCGCAUUAGCUAGUUGGUAGGGUAAAGGCCUACCAAGGCGACGAUGCGUAGCCGACCUGAGAGGGUGAACGGCCACACUGGGACUGAGACACGGCCCAGACUCCUACGGGAGGCAGCAGUAGGGAAUCUUCGGCAAUGGGCGAAAGCCUGACCGAGCAACGCCGCGUGAAUGAUGAAGGCCUUCGGGUUGUAAAAUUCUGUUAUAAGGGAAGAACGACUUUAGUAGGAAAUGGCUAGAGUGUGACGGUACCUUAUGAGAAAGCCACGGCUAACUACGUGCCAGCAGCCGCGGUAAUACGUAGGUGGCGAGCGUUAUCCGGAAUUAUUGGGCGUAAAGAGCGCGCAGGUGGUUGAUUAAGUCUGAUGUGAAAGCCCACGGCUUAACCGUGGAGGGUCAUUGGAAACUGGUCGACUUGAGUGCAGAAGA